ensembl:lncRNA LINC00507 long intergenic non-protein coding RNA 507
AGCACAUCAGCUCCUGGAAACAAAUGCACUUAACCAGAAAAACAGGGACAUCAACCAGCAAAGAUGCAUCCUCAUUUAAUAGAGCUUGAAAUUACUAUAAUCUGUAAAGUACAGCGAGAAGAAGAAGUUUCACCUGCCUGCACAUCUGUCGUUGACUCUCCAUCUGACUUGGAGGGACUCUGAGGGACCAACCUGAGCCUGAGAAGAGGCAAGAUUCCCCUUCAAGGACACACUGGGAACUUACGGACCUCUUUCUCCAUGGUGCAGAGCGCAGAGGAAAAUCUGGACUCCAAAAUCUGGUUCUACUGAUACGUGGCUGUGGCCAAAGUCUUUCCACGCCUCCAAGGCCUCCAUUUUUUAAUCUUCAUAAGAGGGAACAAUCCAAUCUGCCUAUCAGUAUUGUGAGUGUAUGAUGGCUCCCCUGAAGUCCUGCAAUUUCUUGACUGCGGGUUCCCAGGAAAUGGCAGAUGUGACUGGUGAACAAACAGACGCAUAAUAGCUCUUGAGCUUGCCAUUGGGAAGUGAAAAUCAACUGCUUGAAUAAAUGUAAGGACUCAGGUAGACAUCACCUUGUGACUCAACAGCAGCCAAUAAGAUGGAAAUAAAGGCCAUGAAGUUAUCGGAUGGCAUCUACAAGGAAUACUUAGAUGAGGAGGUGACUCUGGUAGCAAUUGUUCUUUUGUCUUUCUCACCUUCCUUCUUGUCCUGUCUGGGAUGCUGAAGUGAUGGCUGGUAUACAGAUGCCCUGUUGUGAUGUUGAGAUAAACAUGAGAAUAAAAGUCGGCGAUUACAGAUGGCAGAGAAGAGAGAGAAAGAUAGGAUGUAGGUGGAUAUUGACGGAACUAAGUUUCUAUUGCACAAGUUCUACCACCAACCUCUGGACUUCAUGAUAUGUGAGGGAGAAAUAAACUCCUAUUUUAGAAGAGAUCUAUGUUACCUGCAACUGAACGGAAUGCUUAAUUGGCACAUCCUAUGUGCUCCAAACCUUCCUUAAUUUCUGUGUGUAAGGCAUACUUAGUCUUUACCCAUUAUUCUGUUCACAUUCAUUCACUUGAUCAGCCUCCCAACUCUAUGGUAAAGAGUUUACUACAGUUUACUCUAUUAGUAAGGGAGAUUCUGGAGCAAGCCCCACAAAUCAUAGAUUGAAUACCCAUUCAUUAAGAGAGAGAUUUAAAGAUACUUCUAUCCAAACACAUUUUAAAUUUCCAGCACCUUUGAGGUGGUGGAGGUUCAUGGUGGUUGAUAGGGUUUAAAUGACUUGUGAUUCAAGCUCCAUAUUACAAUGUAACAGUGCAAAAGUUCAUUUUUUUAAAUUUAUUUUACUUUAAGUUCUGGUAUACAUGUGUAGAACAUGCGGGUUUGUUACAUAGGUAUACAUGUGCCAUGGUGGUUUGCUGCACCUAUCAAACCGUCACCUAGGUUUUAAGAACCACAUGCAUUAGGUAUUUGACCUAAUGCUCUCCCUCAUGUUGCCCCCCAACUCCCUGACAGGGCCCAGUGUGUGAUGUUCCCCUCCCUGUGUCCAUGUGUUCUCAUUGUUCAACUCCCACUUAUGAGUGAGAACAUGUGGUGUUUGAUUUUCUGUUCCUGUGUUAGUUUGCUGAGAAUGAUGGCUUCCAGCUUCAUCCAUGUCCCUGCAAAGGACACGAACUCAUUCUUUUUUAUGGCUUCAUAAUAUUCCAUGAGUCUGGAUUUGGUUACAGAUAGAGCUGGACAAGCCUUAGCUAUAUCUAAUGGCUUUUGACAUGUUAUAUCAAUUUCUUACUGCUUUUGUAAAUGAAUAUAUUAAGAAGAAAAAAUUACAAAUGACCCUUUCUUCACAAACUUUUAGGGUAAUCAAGUUCAGUUAUUAAAAAAUGGAUGUUUGCAACAUUCAUAGUAAUUAUUUUCAGAAAAUUAAAAAUGAUUAAAAAUUAUAUUUUCAUCCCAUUCAGAUAUUAUAUAUUUAACUGUGAGAUAAUUCUCAGAGAUAAAUGUCAACUUUUAAAAAAUGCUAAAUAAAUUAAAUCAAAAUA